rnacentral:rRNA from 1 species
ACGAGAGAGAAGGAGCUUGCUUCUUCGAUCGAGUGGCGAACGGGUGGGUAACGCGUGAGGAACCUGCCUCAAAGAGGGGGACAACAGUUGGAAACGACUGCUAAUACCGCAUAAGCCCACAGGUCGGCAUCGACCAGAGGGAAAAGGAGCAAUCCGCUUUGAGAUGGCCUCGCGUCCGAUUAGCUAGUUGGUGAGGUAAUGGCCCACCAAGGCGACGAUCGGUAGCCGGACUGAGAGGUUGAACGGCCACAUUGGGACUGAGACACGGCCCAGACUCCUACGGGAGGCAGCAGUGGGGAAUAUUGCACAAUGGGGGAAACCCUGAUGCAGCGACGCCGCGUGGAGGAAGAAGGUCUUCGAAUUGUAAACUCCUGUUGUUGAGGAAGAUAAUGACGGUACUCAACAAGGAAGUGACGGCUAACUACGUGCCAGCAGCCGCGGUAAAACGUAGGUCACAAGCGUUGUCCGGAAUUACUGGGUGUAAAGGGAGCGCAGGCGGGAAGACAAGUUGGAAGUGAAAUCCAUGGGCUCAACCCAUGAACUGCUUUCAAAACUGUUUUUCUUGAGUAGUGCAGAGGUAGGCGGAAUUCCCGGUGUAGCGGUGGAAUGCGUAGAUAUCGGGAGGAACACCAGUGGCGAAGGCGGCCUACUGGGCACCAACUGACGCUGAGGCUCGAAAGUGUGGGUAGCAA